rnacentral:pre_miRNA from 1 species
AAUCUAGGAGGCAGGUGCUCACUUGUCCUCCUCCAUGUUUGGAAGAUACAGGGAGGAGGCCAUAGUGGCAACUGUCACCAUGAUU